rnacentral:rRNA from 1 species
UACAGAGGUCCCAAGCGUUGUUCGGAAUCACUGGGCUUAAAGGGCGCGUAGGCGGGCCAUCAAGUCAGGGGUGAAAGCCCCCAGCUCAACUGGGGAAGUGCCUUUGAUACUGGUGGUCUCGAGGGGGAUAGGGGCGUGCGGAACUUCCGGUGGAGCGGUGAAAUGCGUAGAUAUCGGAAGGAACACCGGUGGCGAAAGCGGCGCGCUGGAUCCCUUCUGACGCUGAGGCGCGAAAGCCAGGGGAGCGAACAGG